rnacentral:rRNA from 1 species
UUUUUAUUAUUAAUAAUAAUAAAUAAGUUCUGCUCAAUGAUUAUUUAAAUAGCUGCAGUAAUUUAACUGUACUAAGGUAGCAUAAUCAAUUGUUUUUUAAAUGGAAACUAGAAUGAAUGAAUUGAUGAAAUAUAUACUUUAUUUGAAUUAUUUAUUGAAUUUAAUAUUAUAGUUAAAAAGCUUUAAUUAUUUUAUAAGACGAGAAGACCCUAUAGAAUUUUAUAUAAUAAUUUUAUAAAAUUUUAAUAUAAAUAAUAAAAUUAUAUAUUUAUUUGGGAGGAAUAUUAAAAUUAAUAACUUUAAUUAAUUGAUUACAUAAAUUUAUGAUAUAAAUAGAUUUUAUUAAAAUAUAAGAUUAAAUUACCUUAGGGAUAACAGCGUAAUAUUUUUUUAUAGUUCAAAUUGAAAAAAGUGUUU